UACGUAGGGUGCGAGCGUUAAUCGGAAUUACUGGGCGUAAAGCGUGCGCAGGCGGUUCGUUAAGUCAGAUGUGAAAGCCCCGGGCUCAACCUGGGAACUGCAUUUGAAACUGGCGGGCUUGAGUGUGGCAGAGGGGGGUGGAAUUCCGCGUGUAGCAGUGAAAUGCGUGGAGAUGCGGAGGAACACCGAUGGCGAAGGCAGCCCCCUGGGCCAACACUGACGCUCAGGCACGAAAGCGUGGGGAGCAAACAGG
rnacentral:rRNA from 1 species